rnacentral:rRNA from 1 species
CAACUUUCAGCAACGGAUCUCNUUGGCUCUCGCAUCGAUGAAGAACGCAGCGAAAUGCGAUAAGUAAUGUGAAUUGCAGAAUUCAGUGAAUCAUCGAAUCUUUGAACGCACCUUGCGCUCCUUGGUAUUCCGAGGAGCAUGCCUGUUUGAGUGUC